rnacentral:rRNA from 1 species
GACGAACGCUGGCGGCGUGCUUAACACAUGCAAGUCGAGCGAGAGAAGUUCCUUCGGGAAGGACUCUAGCGGCGGACGGGCGAGUAACACGUGGGUAACCUGCCUGACAGAGGGGGGUAGCCUUUCGUCAGGAAGAUUUAUAACGCACAAGAUUGUCGUAUAGCAUGAUACAGCAAUUAAAGGAGUAAUCCGCGAUGAGAGGGAACCGCGUCGCAUUAGCUAGUUGGUGAGGUAACGGAUCACCAAGGCGACGAUGCGUAGACGACCUGAGAGGGUGAUCGGCCACAUUGGGAAUGAGAAGCAGCACAGAAUCCUACGGGAGGAAGCCAUGGGGAAUAUUGCACAAUGGGGGAAACCCUGAUGCAGCAACGCCGCGUGAGUGAUGACGUUAUUCGGAUUGUAAUACUCUGUCUUCAGGGACGAUAAUGACGGUACCUGAGGAGGAAGCCACGGCUAACUACAUGCCAGCAGCCGCGGUAA